rnacentral:lncRNA from 1 species
UAUAGGCACUACACCACAUAGGUUGUGUCGUGUGCAAAUUUGGGAAUUUUUUGGAAUCGUUUGCUCUUUUCUAAUUAUUUUCAGCAUUUAUUGAUUUUGAAACGCGAAAAUUUGAAUUAAAGAAAUAAACACAUGAAAUAAUGGUGUAGUAUGUUUGUAAACAUGGAAUAUACAUUGUGAAGUUCAUUUGACAAAGAAAUUAUAAAAAAUUUUGAUUUAUUAAGUUAAUAUAUUUUUAAAGAAAAAAUUAUAGGAUUGAUACAUAAAAUGUUGUUAAGUGUUUGCCGUAUGCCACUUGCAGCAGCACACGACAAAGAGUUUUUAAAAAGAAAAAAAAUGGAAACAAAAAAAGUAGAAAAUGUUCGCCGUGUGCCAUAUCACACGGCAAAGAGACGAUGUUUAUCGUGUGCCCUUGAUCCAGCACAUGGCAAACCCCCCUCAGGCCAAAAAAAAGGGUGGCCGCGCGCCCAACUCCUCUCUCUCUCAACUUCUCUACCCGAGCCCCCGCCCCCCGCCACCAGCCGCGCCCACCGCCGCCGCCCACGCCCCC